rnacentral:rRNA from 1 species
AGAGUUUGAUCCUGGCUCACGAUGAACGCUAGCGGCAGGCUUAAUACAUGCCAGUCGAACGGGAUUCGAGGUAGCAAUACUUUGAUGAGAGUGGCGCACGGGUGCGUAACGCGUAUGCAACCUACCUUUAACAGGGAGAUAGCCCCGAGAAAUCGGGAUUAAUAUUCCAUAACAUUGCGGUGUGGCAUCACACAACAAUUAAAGCUCCGGCGGUUAAAGAUGGGCAUGCGUGACAUUAGCUAGUUGGUGAGGUAACGGCUCACCAAGGCAACGAUGUCUAGGGGUCCUGAGAGGGUUAUCCCCCACACUGGUACUGAGACACGGACCAGACUCCUACGGGAGGCAGCAGUAAGGAAUAUUGGUCAAUGGGCGCAAGCCUGAACCAGCCAUGCCGCGUGCAGGAAGACGGCCCUAUGGGUUGUAAACUGCUUUUGUCAGGGAAUAAACCUAUCUACGUGUAGAUAGCUGAAGGUACCUGAAGAAUAAGCAUCGGCUAACUCCGUGCCAGCAGCCGCGGUAAUACGGAGGAUGCAAGCGUUAUCCGGAUUCAUUGGGUUUAAAGGGUGCGCAGGCUGAUUAUUAAGUCAGGGGUGAAAUCUCUCGGCUCAGCCGAGAAACUGCCUUUGAUACUGAUAGUCUAGAGUAUAGUUGAAGUUGGCGGAAUGUGUCAUGUACCGGUGAAAUGCUUAUAUAUGACACAGAACACCGAUCGCGAAGGCAGCUAGCUAAGCUAUAACUGACGCUCAUGCACGAAAGCGUGGGGAUCAAACAGGAUUAGAUACCCUGGUAGUCCACGCUGUAAACGAUGAUUACUCGAUGUUGGCGAUACACAGUCAGCGUCUAAGGGAAACCAAUAAGUAAUCCACCUGGGGAGUACGAUCGCAAGAUUGAAACUCAAAGGAAUUGACGGGGGCCCGCACAAGCGGAGGAGCACGUGGUUUAAUUCGAUGAUACGCG